rnacentral:rRNA from 1 species
AACGCUGGCGGCKUGCUUAACACAUGCAAGUSGAACGCGAAAGUCUUYYUCSGAAGGCGAGUAGAGUGGCGCACGGGUGAGUAACGCGUAGGUAACCUACCCUGGUGUCUGGGAUAACUGGCCGAAAGGCCAGCUAAUACCSSRUACACUUCCUGGGUGGCGACACUUGGGGAGGAAAGGUUCCCUCUGAUUCAAGGGACCGCAUCGGGAUGGGCCUGCGUCCCAUUAGCUAGUAGGUGGGGUAACGGCCUACCUAGGCGACGAUGGGUAGCGGGUCUGAGAGGAUGAUCCGCCACACUGGCACUGGAACACGGGCCAGACUCCUACGGGAGGCAGCAGUGAGGAAUAUUGCGCAAUGGGCGAAAGCCUGACGCAGCGACGCCGCGUGGGUGAGGAAGGUCUUCGGAUCGUAAAGCCCUGUCAGGUGGGAAGAAAUUCCCGAUGGUUAAGAGCUGUUGGGAUUGACGGUACCACCAAAGGAAGCACCGGCUAACUCCGUGCCAGCAGCCGCGGUAAUACGGAGGGUGCGAGCGUUGUUCGGAAUCACUGGGCGUAAAGGGCGCGUAGGCGGUUUGUCAAGUCAGAUGUGAAAGGCCACGGCUCAACCGUGGACGUGCAUCUGAAACUGGCAGACUCGAGUACCGGAGGGGGAAAGUGGAAUUCCCGGGUGUAGAGGUGAAAUUCGUAGAUAUCGGGAGGAAUACCGGGAGGCGAAGGCGACUUUCUGGACGGAUACUGACGCUGAGGCGCGAAAGCGUGGGGAGCAAACAGGAUUAGAUACCCUGGUAGUCCACAGCCGUAAACGAUGUGCACUAGGGGUUGURGGGGAGGAGUUGACCCUCUCUGUGCCGCAGCUAACGCAAUAAGUGCACSSCCKGGGGAAGAUWCSGSCGCCAAGAUARMACCUCUAAUGAAUAA